GCAGGGGCCGCGCGAACGCGUACCCCCUCUACCACAAAUUACGACGUCCACUCUCCCACUUGGGGAGAUGGUAGGCCAGCACAUCCACCAAGUGCAAUGUGGACCACUAGCCUAGGCCACGACUCUUCUUGA
rnacentral:snRNA from 1 species